CUGCAGUCAAUUAAGCUGACUGUGUUCCUUUGUGAUGGGGCUGGGUAUGCAGGACUGAAGACAAUGUUCUACUUAAGAGUGUGGGCAGCCUGCUGUCUGUGCUUGGUGCCUGAGGGAUGGCGGAGAGGGCC